rnacentral:rRNA from 1 species
UAAGGAAUAUUGGUCAAUGGACGCAAGUCUGAACCAGCCAUGCCGCGUGGAGGAUGACGGCCCUCUGGGUUGUAAACUCCUUUUAUCUGGGAAGAAAUGCAGAUUUUCUAAUCUGUUUGACGGUACCAGAGGAAUAAGCACCGGCUAACUCCGUGCCAGCAGCCGCGGUAAUACGGAGGGUGCAAGCGUUAUCCGGAUUCACUGGGUUUAAAGGGUGCGUAGGUGGACAGGUAAGUCAGUGGUGAAAUCUCCAAGCUUAACUUGGAAACUGCCGUUGAUACUAUCUGUCUUGAAUAUCGUGGAGGUAAGCGGAAUAUGUCAUGUAGCGGUGAAAUGCUUAGAUAUGACAUAGAACACCGAUUGCGAAGGCAGCUUACUACACGAUCAUUGACACUGAGGCACGAAAGCGUGGGGAGCAAACAGG